AAGUUGAAAACUUGUUCUUUUUGAAGAGUAGAAUUACUAGGAAGUUGUAUUUCCUAAGACAUUUCUCUAAUAUUUGAAAAUUCUACAGCCUGCAUUCAUUUCAUAAGCAAAAACUAAAGGAAGAUGGAGUAGAAGUAUUUUUUCCCUAUUCCUCCCACUGAGUACAACUAAAAACUUGGAACAUUAUAGAUAAGACAAACAUAAGACACUGAAAGGUAGAGAGAAGUCAUACUGGCCAGGGACUUCAAGACCCAAAGAGGAGCACAGUGGUGGUAUCAGAGGAGGCCUAGUGGAAGGUUAGGACUUCACCAUUGCCCAGCUGUGAGGAGUCUGCCUCUUCCAUCCCAUGGCUGGAAUAUAAACAUGGAGGGAGCCAAUUUCCACCACAUGGAUGAAAACAACACCCAGCGAGAUGGUGAAGCAAGGAGAUAGAAGAAACGUGGGUCUCUGAAUGAAACCUGGGCCUCUGCUCACAUGGAGCAGAACUAGCAGGCCAGCCUUGGACCUCCUACCCCGCACUUAUAAGAGAAAAAGAAACUUCUAUCUUAUUUAAGUUACUGUAUUUUGGGACCUCUUUACAACAGCAGCUUGGCUUGUGCCUUGACUAAUAAAGCCAUUGUUAUUCUU